CCCCAAUUCAUCAAAAUCCAACAAAUUGGAUGCGUUUUUGGUCAAGAUUUGAAUGCAUGUGAUCAAUUUAUCAACCAUCUAAGAGUUUCCAACCUAGGGAAUCAAAGAUGAAGGAGGAAGCUCCGGUUCGCAACAAAAAUCUCAAGAACGAGGUAAAACUCAAGCUUAGGUGUUAUUGCCUCGCUCGGACCGAACACACUAUGAACGCCUUUUAUGCGCUUCCGCAACUUUUGAAGUAUCAUCAAUGGGUCAAAUACUUUUGUAAAAUAGGUCAUGUUUGGUAGUUAAAAACUCUAAACUUGAUGUUUUAAAUCUUUUGUCAAAAUUCUAGUUGUAGUGGAUGU